GGUUAUAAGUGGAAGCAAAAAAUAUAGAAAACUAAUUUUGCAAUAAAUUGGUAAUAAAGUUAAGGAGACCAAAGGGUAUAGCUACAGAAUGAGGAAAGAUUAUCUGAAGCUAGGGCAGACUUGAACAUGUUUAUCUGGAGAGAGCAGUGAGUGAGAAUGGGAAGAAUGAUGGUACAAAAGAGAAGCAGUCACCGCGAGGAAUUCUCGUAGGAGAUAAAAGGGAAGAGCAGGAGCUCAUGUGGAGGGUUAGCGUUAUUGAGGAAGCAGAGCACCUUUUGAGAGGCUACAAUGAGGAAAGAAAGAGUUAUGAAGAUAGAGAUUUUGAUGCUUAAUUUUAUUUGUCAACCUGGCUAGGCUCUUGUACUCAGUUGUUAGGUCAAACACCAAGUCUAGAUUUUGCUACGAAGGUAUUUUUAGAGAUGAAUUAACAUUCAAAGCAGUAGACUCUGAGUAAAGCGGAUUACUGGAAAGAGAUGGGCCUCGCUGAGUCGGUUGAAGGCCUUACGAACACACACUGUGGCCCCCGGAGGAAGAGGAGUUCCGCCUUCGGACAGCCUCUGGCUCUGGGCUGCAGCCAGCUGCCUGUCCUCCAGGUCUGGGCUGCUGGCCGGCUCUGCGAAGUUUGGGCUUGCCAGCCUCGUGUAACGUAAGCCAAUUCCUUAAGACAAGUCUUUCUCUCUCUGCAUACACACAUCCUGUUGGUUCUGUUCCUGUGAAGAGCCCUGACUAAUGCGGAGACCCCACACGGGCUGGAGGGUUUUGAAGAUGCUCAGGUUAGCGAUGUAAAUCUCUGAUAAAACGGGAGCCUAAGAUAUGUGAUGAAAAUGAAGUGUGCGCUUAAAAAUACAAAUUUUCCCGAAGAACCCUGAGGUAGGUACCUGAGACUGUGGCUUCUUUCAGAAUAAGGAAUCUCUUUUAUGUGUUUUGUAUUCUAAAAUCACAGCACAAUAGCUGGCAUUUUGAAAGUAUACAACAAAUGUUUGCUAUUAGUCAAGUAAGCUGAACAAAAGGUCUGUGAAAGGCCCAGCUAAGGUAGAUGUUAUGAAUCCUAGUGAACAAAUUGUCAUGGCUCUGUAACUUUUUGCCAUAAUGUUAAUUUUCUGGAACUUAGAGCAGAAAAAAUGGAGCGUGGGGAUGAGCACAAUGAGAACUGCUGAGGGUCAAGAGGUUGAGGACAACCAGAGUGGUCGAGUGAGCUGUGAGCCAUGAAAAGUCCUGCCUGUGUGGCCCAGUGAAGAAGAUGCGUGCUCACACCCCCCCCCCCCAGAACAGAUGGCUGUGAAUGGCGGGAGACACAGUGACCCUCUGCCUGACAACUCACUGGCUGGCCAACCUUUAAGGCAAGAGGAGAAGACCUGGGGCUGCUGAAUGAAGGGGAGCAGGUUGGAAGACAGGCCCCUGGGACAGGAGUCUGAGAGCAGUGAAUUGACCGGAGGGCUUGGAACCCAAGAGAAGGCAGGCAAAGCUUCAGAUGAAGCUCUGAAGACUGGGCUCUGGAGUGAAGAUGAUAGACGUGGUGCAGAGCCCCAGCUAGCUGCGAUGUAUGCUUA